rnacentral:rRNA from 1 species
AACGAACGCUGGCGGCGCGCCUAAUACAUGCAAGUCGAACGAGAAGGUGUAGCAAUACACUUGUACAGUGGCGAACGGGUGAGGAAUGCAUGGGCAACCGUACCCUCGAGUGGGGAAUAACCAGCCGAAAGGUUGGCUAAUACCGCGUACGCUUCCGGGUCUCCGGAUCCGGAAGGAAAGUCACACCGUGGGUGUGACGGCUCAAGGAUGGGCUCAUGUCCU